rnacentral:misc_RNA from 1 species
GCCAGAAAAAUUUAUAUAUAAUAUUAAUAAAUUAGUAGCAAAAUCAAUCCCGUUUCCAUCUCAAUGUGUUUGUGAAGAUCAGGCAGAAAAACGUUAUUAAAAAAAAUUAAAAAUAAUUGUUAAAAAAUUGAAACCUAUGUAAAUAAAAUAAACCGAAGAUUUGUGAAACAGAGGAAUCGCAGAAGAUAUAUUCAGCUUUUAUGGACUAGUGUUUAAGCUAG